AGUACUUGAGCAAUCCUCCACAGGUCGGUAGGAUUCUGCUUCUUCAAAAUAAUUGCUUAAACUAAAUUAAAUAAAUUGCAGUAGUUCCCUAGUGUAGAAAACUACUACUUUGACGAAAUGAAAAAACGGAAAGGGAAAGGGAAAAUGGAAACGCUGAACGGAACGGUAAAUAAAUUAUGGUAAAAAAAAAACAAUGUUGCUGGAAAAAAAAAAUAGAAAAUAGAAUUGUUGUGGAAAAUAAAUGCAGAGAAAAAUCUUGAAAGCUGGCUUCAGGGAGAAAAAUCAAGUGUGCCCGUAGGUUUCCAACUUCCAUCCUUUUAUAUUCUCCAUUUGGUCUUGGCAGUUGAGAGAAAUAAGGGUGGCUUGGUUGAGUGA
rnacentral:lncRNA from 1 species